rnacentral:rRNA from 1 species
GCCUGCCGGUGACGCAAGUUUAACGGCCGCGGUAUUUUGACCGUGCAAAGGUAGCGUAAUCAAUCGUCUUUUAAAUGAAGCCUUGUAUGAAUGGUAAUACGAAAACUCAACUGUCUCAUUCUUUUAACCAAUGAAAUUGAUUUCUCCGUGCGGAAGCGGGGAUAAAAACAUAAGACAAAAAGACCCUGUGGAGCUUCAGACAAAUCAGCUUAAAAUUUUAUAAUAAAUAAACUUUUAACUCUGCUUACAUCUUAGGUUGGGGCGAUCGCGGAGAAAAUAUAUCCUCCAUGAAGAAAAAUAUACAUUUUUAUAAUUAAGAGCUACCGCUCUAGAUAUUAAAACAUUUAACUUUAUGAACCGGCUUACCGAAUAACGAACCCAGUUACCCCAGGGAUAACAGCGCAAUCCUCUUAAAGAGCACAUAUUACUAAGGGGGCUUACGACCUCGAUGUUGGAUCAGGGCAUCCUAAUGGCGCAGCCGCUAUUAAGGGUUCGUUUGUUCAACGAUUAAAGCCCUACGUGAUCUGA